rnacentral:snoRNA from 1 species
UUCCUAGCAUGCACAUACACACAAAGGGCAGAGUGAGAACACUGCUUUUGGGUAAAGAUGCAGGAUAUUUCAAGUGUUUUCCUUUAACUGGUGGUAUGACAAGA